GCAGCCGCGGUAAUACGUAGGGUGCGAGCGUUGUCCGGAAUUAUUGGGCGUAAAGAGCUUGUAGGCGGUUUGUCGCGUCUGCAGUGAAAAUCCGAGGCUCAACCUCGGACUUGCUGUGGGUACGGGCAGACUAGAGUAUGGUAGGGGAGACCGGAAUUCCUGGUGUAGCGGUGGAAUGCGCAGAUAUCAGGAGGAACACCGAUGGCGAAGGCAGGUCUCUGGGCCAUAACUGACGCUGAGAAGCGAAAGCAUGGGGAGCGAACAGGAUUAGAUACCCUGGUAGUCCAUGCCGUAAACGUUGGGCGCUAGGUGUGGGGCUCAUUCCACGAGCUCCGUGCCGCAGCUAACGCAUUAAGCGCCCCGCCUGGGGAGUACGGCCGCAAGGCUAAAACUCAAAGGAAUUGACGGGGGCCCGCACAAGCGGCGGAGCAUGCGGAUUAAUUCGAUGCAACGCGAAGAACCUUACCAAGGCUUGACAUAUACCGGAAACAUCCAGAGAUGGGUGCCCCGCAAGGUCGGUAUACAGGUGGUGCAUGGUUGUCGUCAGCUCGUGUCGUGAGAUGUUGGGUUAAGUCCCGCAACGAGCGCAACCCUCGUCCUAUGUUGCCAGCGGGUUAUGCCGGGAACUCAUAGGAGACUGCCGGGGUCAACUCGGAGGAAGGUGGGGAUGACGUCAAAUCAUCAUGCCCCUUAUGUCUUGGGCUUCACGCAUGCUACAAUGGCCGGUACAAAGGGCUGCGAUACCGCGAGGUGGAGCGAAUCCCAAAAAACCGGUCUCAGUUCGGAUUGGGGUCUGCAACUCGACCCCAUGAAGUCGGAGUCGCUAGUAAUCGCAGAUCAGCAACGCUGCGGUGAAUACGUUCCCGGGCCUUGUACACACCGCCCGUCA
rnacentral:rRNA from 1 species